rnacentral:rRNA from 1 species
UACGAAGGGGGGCUAGCGUUGUUCGGAUUUACUGGGCGUAAAGCGCACGUAGGCGGAUCGUUAAGUCGGGGGUGAAAUCCUGGAGCUCAACUCCAGAACUGCCUUCGAUACUGGCGAUCUCGAGUCCGGAAGAGGUGAGUGGAACUCCUAGUGUAGAGGUGGAAUUCGUAGUAUAAGAUUAGGAAGAACACCAGUGGCGAAGGCGACUCACUGGUCCGGUACUGACGCUGAGGUGCGAAAGCGUGGGGAGCAAACAGG